CUCGGGCGCAGUUGUGCUUCCCGGCUGUCGUCUCCUGCCUGCAGACCGCUGAGCGCUUCCCCGCUUGGUACCAUCAUGCCGAAAGCGAGAAACGAGACGCAGUGAGCGAUUCAGGCUGGGAAAGAAAGUGGUGUACUGCUAGACCCAAGCAUUACAAAUUCAGCAGUAGAGCCAUUUCUUUGGAACCGGGGAAUGUGGACGUGUCAAAGUUUGCAGAUAAAAGGAAGGAACAACACAGCUGGUGAGGAGAAAUGGAACAACAUGUAGC
rnacentral:lncRNA from 1 species